rnacentral:rRNA from 1 species
UGGGGAAUCUUGCGCAAUGGGCGGAAGCCUGACGCAGCAACGCCGCGUGCGGGAAGAAGGCCUUCGGGUCGUAAACCGCUUUCAGCAGGGACGAAGCUUCCGGGGUUAAUAGCCCACGGGGUGACGGUACCUGCAGAAGAAGCCCCGGCUAACUACGUGCCAGCAGCCGCGGUAAUACGUAGGGGGCGAGCGUUGUCCGGAUUCAUUGGGCGUAAAGAGCGUGUAGGCGGCUUGGUAGGUCUCGUGUCAAAUCCUGCGGCUCAACCGCAGUCCGCACGGGAAACCACCUCGCUAGAGUCCGGUAGGGGAGAGCGGAAUUCCCGGUGUAACGGUGAAAUGUGCAGAUAUCGGGAAGAACACCAGUAGCGAAGGCGGCUCUCUGGAACGGUACUGACGCUGAGACGCGAAAGCGUGGGGAGCAAACAG